rnacentral:rRNA from 1 species
GGUUAAGUGAAUAAGGGCGCACGGUGGAUGCCUUGGCACUAGGAGCCGAUGAAGGACGGGACUAACACCGAUAUGCUUUGGGGAGCUGUACGUAAGCUAUGAUCCAGAGAUUUCCGAAUGGGGGAACCCAGCAUCUUUAAUAGGAUGUUACGAUUGUGUGAAUACAUAGCACAUUCGAGGUAGACGCAGAGAACUGAAACAUCUAAGUACCUGCAGGAAGAGAAAGAAAAUUCGAUUCCCUGAGUAGCGGCGAGCGAAACGGGAAAAGCCCAAACCAGCAAGCUUGCUUGUUGGGGUUGUAGGACUCCAAUAUGGUAGUUCUUUCAGAUAGUCGAAUGACUUGGAAAAGUCAGUCAAAGAGGGUAAAAACCCCGUAGACGAAAUGUGGAAGACACCUAGGAGGAUCCUGAGU